rnacentral:rRNA from 1 species
AUUGAACGCUGGCGGCAUGCCUUACACAUGCAAGUCGAACGGCAGCACGGGAGCAAUCCUGGUGGCGAGUGGCGAACGGGUGAGUAAUAUAUCGGAACGUGCCCAGUCGUGGGGGAUAACGUAGCGAAAGCUACGCUAAUACCGCAUACGAUCUAUGGAUGAAAGCGGGGGAUCGCAAGACCUCGCGCGAUUGGAGCGGCCGAUAUCAGAUUAGGUAGUUGGUGAGGUAAAGGCUCACCAAGCCGACGAUCUGUAGCUGGUCUGAGAGGACGGCCAGCCACACUGGGACUGAGACACGGCCCAGACUCCUACGGGAGGCAGCAGUGGGGAAUUUUGGACAAUGGGCGCAAGCCUGAUCCAGCAAUGCCGCGUGCAGGAUGAAGGCCUUCGGGUUGUAAACUGCUUUUGUACGGAACGAAACGGUGAGCUCUAAUACAGUUUGCUAAUGACGGUACCGUAAGAAUAAGCACCGGCUAACUACGUGCCAGCCGCCGCAGUAA